UCAAAACAAACAAACAAGCC
rnacentral:piRNA from 1 species